GUCUUACACCGGGAUGUCAUAACCCUUUGUUGUCCAGACUCUGUUGCCUCCGGUGGCGACCCUGCCUUCGGGCGGGGGCUCCGGGUGGACACUUCAAACUCUUGCGUAACUUUGCAGUCUGAGUAAACUUAAUUAAUAAAUUAAAACUUUUAACAACGGAUCUCUUGGUUCUGGCAUCGAUGAAGAACGCAGCGAAAUGCGAUAAGUAAUGUGAAUUGCAGAAUUCAGUGAAUCAUCGAAUCUUUGAACGCACAUUGCGCCCCCUGGUAUUCCGGGGGGCAUGCCUGUUCGAGCGUCAUUUCACCACUCAAGCCUCGCUUGGUAUUGGGCAACGCGGUCCGCCGCGUGCCUCAAAUCGACCGGCGGGUCUUCUGUCCCUAAGCGUUGUGGAAACUAUUCGCUAAAGGUGUUCGGGAGCUACGCCGUAACAACCCAUUCUAAGUGACCUGAUCAGUAG
rnacentral:rRNA from 1 species